GGAGGAAUGGCAGAGUGGCUUAUUGCAAUUUAAAAUUUUAACAUUUUAAAUGAGGGUAAAACUUCCGAGGGUUCGAAUCCCUUCUUCCUCCG
rnacentral:tRNA from 1 species